CGCCGAAAAUCCAAAACUGUUCGCACGCCGCGAAUUCUUCGAAUAUUGUAAUUGCGUUCUGUUUUGUUUUGUUUUGUUUUUUUUCAAUUUUCUUUUUUCGUAUUUUCUUAUUACCGAAAUGCGCGUUUGUUACGCAGGUAACUCGUUAGCCGAAAAUCGCCUCGCACACCUAAAUGUAUUUUAUCUGGAGUUAUUAUUGCAUUACGGUUCUGUUUUACGCGAUGGUC